AUGAGAUUUGUCUUACAGAUAUCUGACUUGAUCACGGGUGCUACAAGAGACCUAAGGCUGGAAGUGACUGCUCUCAAAGAAAAACUUCAUGAAUCCCAUAUCCGCUACACUGAAGAAUCUGAGACAAAGAAAAAAGAAAUUGAAAACCUUAGAAAUUUAGUUGCAGAAUUUGAAUCUCGCUUAGAGAAGGAAAUUAACAAUAAUGAUUCAGUUUCCCAAGACUUGAGGAAGGAGAUGAAACAGAAGUCAGAUGAACUGGAAAGAGUAAUGCUAGCACAAACACGACUGAUACAGCAACUUAACCAGUCUCAGGAAGAGAACUCUGUUCUUCAGGAAACGGUGCGCAGAGAGUGUGAAGAACGCUUUGAGCUGACGGAGGCCUUGAGUCAAGCCAGAGAACAGCUCCUGGAGCUGAGGAAGCUCAACGGGAGCUUGCCCUUGUCACCAUGUACCCCCCGCAAGGGCAGCCUAACCUCCUGUGUCGUAGCAGUCGGCAAUCAUGGAGCGAGAAGCAUUGCGAGACUGGACUCUGAAACAGGAGUCAGAAUCCCCAGCCUGCACAGAACAAGCACCAUCGCUUCCCCAGCCUCACAGAAGCCCAAGAGGGCCAGCAACGCAGGUGUGCCUGUGCUCCCCACACCUCAUCCUCCCAGGGGCCCAGCAUCUUCAGUAAAUGAGACCAGACAGAGAUUGACUGCCAUUCUUCGGAGAAGGCUGAGUCAGGAGUGACUGAGCGGAGUCCAGAGCGGCUCCACAUGGUGUGCACCUCUUUCUGCGAGUGUCAGAGACUCUCUGUCCCCAGGGUGACAAAGAUCAACUACAUCUACAGAUGUACUUAACAGAAGAAUGUAAAGAAAAACUGUGAAGCCACAUUUUCCAAGAAGUCUUUGAAAUUGCAGUAGAUAAUGAAGUUGUAGGUAUCCCGAGGGUCCAUUUCUACAUUUGUGUAUUACAUGCAUUCAGAUGUGUUCUAUGAAUAUACCCUUUUAGAAAUCACAGGUAAAAAGAAUUUCCCUUGUAGCAUCUUUCUUUUUUAUUUUUCGUAUCAUUACAAUCAGAAAUAUUUCUACCAAAAAUAGAUUAUAUUGGUUUAUUAGUGUUUGUCCAUUUG
rnacentral:lncRNA from 1 species